rnacentral:rRNA from 1 species
UACGUAGGUGGCAAGCGUUGUCCGGAAUUACUGGGCGUAAAGCGUGCGCAGGCGGCUUUGCAAGACAGAUGUGAAAUCCCCGGGCUCAACCUGGGAACUGCAUUUGUGACUGCAUCGCUCGAGUGCGGCAGAGGGGGAUGGAAUUCCGCGUGUAGCAGUGAAAUGCGUAGAUAUGCGGAGGAACACCGAUGGCGAAGGCAAUCCCCUGGGCCUGCACUGACGCUCAUGCACGAAAGCGUGGGGAGCAAACAGG